UACGAAGGGUGCUAGCGUUGUUCGGAAUCACUGGGCGUAAAGCGUGCGCAGGCGGCCAUUCAAGUCAGGGGUGAAAUACCUGGGCUCAACCCAGGAACUGCCUUUGAAACUGUAUGGCUGGAGACUCGGAGGGGUUGGCGGAAUUCCUAAUGUAGCGGUGAAAUGCGUAGAUAUUAGGAGGAACACCAGUGGCGAAGGCGGCCAACUAGACGAGUACUGACGCUCAUUGCACGAAAGCGUGGGGAUCAAACAGG
rnacentral:rRNA from 1 species